GGUUAAGCGACUAAGCGUACACGGUGGAUGCCCUGGCAGUCAGAGGCGAUGAAGGGCGUGCUAAUCUGCGAUAAGCGCCGGUAAGGUGAUAUGAACCGUUAUAACCGGCGAUACCCGAAUGGGGAAACCCAGUGUGAUUCGUCACACUAUCAUUAACUGAAUCCAUAGGUUAAUGAGGCGAACCGGGGGAACUGAAACAUCUAAGUACCCCGAGGAAAAGAAAUCAACCGAGAUUCCCCCAGUAGCGGCGAGCGAACGGGGAGGAGCCCAGAGCCUGAAUCAGCAUGUGUGUUAGUGGAAG
rnacentral:rRNA from 2 species